rnacentral:rRNA from 1 species
UGAGGAUGGCUCUGCGGCUUAUCAGGUUGUAGUGAGGGUAACGUCCUCACUAGCCUAUGACGGGUACGGGCCCUGAGAGGGGAAGCCCGGAGAUGGACUCUGAGACACGAGUCCAGGCCCUACGGGGCGCAGCAGGCGCGAAAACUCCGCAAUGCUCGAAAGAGUGACGGGGGGAUUCCAAGUGCCUACGCUCAGCGUAGGCUGUUCAGAUGCCUAAAAAGCAUCUGGAGUAAGGGCUGGGUAAGACGGGUGCCAUCUGUGGCAGCAGCCGAAAAUUUGGCUUGCUACUGCAAGGCAUAAGCCGCCGCGGUAAUACCCGCAGCUCGAGUGGUAGUCGAUUUUAUUGGGCCUAAAGCGUCCGUAUCCGGUCUGGUAAAUGCUUGGGUAAAUCGUCUGGCUUAACCAGACGAAUUCCGGGUAGACUACCAGACUUGGGACCGGUUGAGGAAGAGGGUACUUCAGGGGUAGGAGUGAAAUCCUGUAAUCCUUGAAGGACCACCAGUGGCGAAGGCGCUCUUCUAGGACGGGUCCGACGGUGAGGGACGAAAGCCAGGGGAGCAAACCGGAUUAGAUACCCGGGUAGUCCUGGCCGUAAACGAUGUGGGCUUGGCAUUGGGGGUUCUACGUGAGCGCCCAGUGUCGU